rnacentral:rRNA from 1 species
CGGCGUGGAUGAGGCAUGCAAGUCGAACGAAGCAGCAAUGCUUAGUAGCGGAAGGGUUAGUAAUACAUGGGUAACGUGCCAUUAACUUAGGAAUAACGUUUGGAAACGAACGCUAAUACCAAAUGUGGUGAAAAAGGGCAUCCUAUUUUCAUUAAAGUGGAGGACCGCAAGGCUUCACGGUUAACGAAAGGCCCAUGGGAUAUCAGCUAGUUGGUGAGGUAAGAGCUCACCAAGGCUAAGACGUCUAGGCGGAUUGAGAGAUUGACCGCCAACACUGGGACUGA